rnacentral:rRNA from 1 species
GACAGAGGUGCCAAGCGUUAGGCGGAAUCACUGGGCUUAAAGCGUGUGUAGGCGGAUCGUUAAGUACCUUGUGAAAUCCCACGGCUCAACCGUGGAACUGCUCGGUAUACUGGCGGUCUUGAGCCACCUAGGGGCAACUGGAACAAGCGGUGGAGCGGUGAAAUGCGUAGAGAUCGGGAAGAACAUCGGUGGCGAAAGCGCUCUGCUGGACUGCAACUGACACUCAGGGACGAAAGCUAGGGGAGCGAAUGGG